rnacentral:rRNA from 1 species
UACGUAGGGUGCGAGCGUUAAUCGGAAUUACUGGGCGUAAAGCGUGCGCAGGCGGUUUUGUAAGCCAGAUGUGAAAUCCCCGGGCUCAACCUGGGGAAUGGCAUUUGGGACUGCAAGGCUGGAGUACGGCAGAGGAGACUGGAAUUCCUGGUGUAGCAGUGAAAUGCGUAGAGAUGUGGAGGAAUACCGAUGGCGAAGGCAGCCCCCUGGGUCAAUACUGACGCUCAUGCACGAAAGCGUGGGGAGCAAACAGG